ACGGGUGAGUAAUGUCUGGGAAACUGCCUGAUGGAGGGGGAUAACUACUGGAAACGGUAGCUAAUACCGCAUAACGUCGCAAGACCAAAGUGGGGGACCUUCGGGCCUCAUGCCAUCAGAUGUGCCCAGAUGGGAUUAGCUAGUAGGUGGGGUAACGGCUCACCUAGGCGACGAUCCCUAGCUGGUCUGAGAGGAUGACCAGCCACACUGGAACUGAGACACGGUCCAGACUCCUACGGGAGGCAGCAGUGGGGAAUAUUGCACAAUGGGCGCAAGCCUGAUGCAGCCAUGCCGCGUUGUGUGAA
rnacentral:rRNA from 1 species